rnacentral:rRNA from 1 species
AGUGAACGCUGGCGGUAUGCCUAACACAUGCAAGUCGAACGGCAGCACAGUAAGAGCUUGCUCUUACGGGUGGCGAGUGGCGGACGGGUGAGGAAUACAUCGGAAUCUACUUUUUCGUGGGGGAUAACGUAGGGAAACUUACGCUAAUACCUCAUACGUCCUACGGGUGAAAGCAGGGGAUCUUCGCACCUUGCGCGAUUCAAUGAGCCGAUGUCGGAUUAGCUAGUUGGCGGGGUAAAGGCCCACCAAGGCGACGAUCCGUAGCUGGUCUGAGAGGAUGAUCAGCCACACUGGAACUGAGACACGGUCCAGACUCCUACGGGAGGCAGCAGUGGGGAAUAUUGGACAAUGGGCGCAAGCCUGAUCCAGCCAUACCGCGUGAGUGAAGAAGGCCUUCGGGUUGUAAAGCCCUUUUGUUGGGAAAGAAAAGCAGCAGGUUAAUACCCCGCUGUUCUGACGGUACCCAAAGAAUAAGCACCGGCUAACUUCGUG